rnacentral:lncRNA from 1 species
UCUGAAAUUGCUCUCUUCUUGGAAUGGGGUAAACAGAGUCACCACCAAACAGGAAGAAUAAAACAAGAUCAUGGGGUCAAAACACAAUCUACCACCAAACAAGCUAAUGGAGAAAAUACCUGUGAAGCCACAGCUCUGAUUCCAAUCUUACAUAAUAAUUGACAACAGCUCAUUUUCUUCUUCAAUCAGUUCACAGUUUUCUCCAAAAAUAUUAAACAUCCUUCAUCUGAAUUUGGUGGAGGCAGCAUGGGAAUAUACACACGUUUGGGUGUAUUCAAGUGGUAGAGAUGAAUUAUCGUGUCUGACGACAAAGGCGCAAAGUUUCUAGAUCCUCUGCAACAUUAGUCACUUGGAAAACAAACUCUUAGCUUAUCACCAGGACACUCCUCAAAAUUAUUUUCUCCUUUGUGUGUAAGAAACACAUGGCUAUUGACCAGUCGUUCUCAACCAGGGCUGACUUUUGUCCUCCAAGGAAUAUUUGGGAAUGUCUGCAAACAUUUUUGGAUGUCGCAAACUCGGGGUGGGGUGGGAGAAAUGCUAUUGGCAUCCAGUGGGUAGAGAUCAGAGAUGCUGCUAGAUGUUUCACAAUGCAGAGGAGAGCCCCCCACAACCAAGAAUUGUCCUUCCCCAGUGUCAUAACACCAAGACGGGGGAAACUUGCUGUAAACUGCAAGAGCACACUCCCAUUCGCGUCUGCAUCAGAUCUAUGGAAAGGUUAAAGGAUUCUUUUCUCCACUUCCUCUCCUGACAAAUCAUGAACUUGAGGCUUUUAUUUAACUAGUAUAAUCUUUCUUUCUUUUUAUUUUUCUGUCGCAUUCUAUCAGUCUCAAAUACACAAAGAAUUGAAAAUAUUUAAAGUGCUAACGUAGGGAACUAUUUCUGUUAUUUGGCAAACACAAUCAUUUCAUUACAGGGCCUCUUUAGUGACUUGUUUUUCCAGAAAGUCUUUAUGUUUUAUAUUUCUGUCAAAUAAUGUCUUUUCACGCUUUUGAAAGCUCAGUCGAGGAAGCCAAUGCAGCCUUUAGAUUCCACUGUCGUUUUUUACAAUGUGUGUAAAUGGGGGUUACUACGAGUUCUAGGAAGGAUACAUUGGGA